rnacentral:rRNA from 1 species
GCACUGGGGGUUGUAGGACUGCAAUGUGCAAGAGGUGAGUUUAGCAGAACAUUCUGGAAAGUAUAGCCAUAGAGGGUGAUAGUCCCGUAUGCGAAAAACAAACCUUAGCUAGCAGUAUCCUGAGUAGGGCGGGACACGAGAAAUCCUGUCUGAAGCUGGGUCGACCACGAUCCAACCCUAAAUACUAAUACCAGAUCGAUAGUGCACAAGUACCGUGAGGGAAAGGUGAAAAGAACUGAGGUGAUCAGAGUGAAAUAGAACCUGAAACCAUUUGCUUACAAUCAUUCAGAGCACUAUGUAGCAAUACAGUGUGAUGGACUGCCUUUUGCAUAAUGAGCCUGCGAGUUGUGGUGUCUGGCAAGGUUAAGCAAACGCGAAGCCGUAGCGAAAGCGAGUCUGAAUAGGGCGCUUAGUCAGAUGCUGCAGACCCGAAACGAAGUGAUCUAUCCAUGAGCAAGUUGAAGCUAGUGUAAGAACUAGUGGAGGACUGAACCCAUAGGCGUUGAAAAGCCCCGGGAUGACUUGUGGAUAGGGGUGAAAGGCCAAUCAAACUUCGUGAUAGCUGGUUCUCUCCGAAAUAUAUUUAGGUAUAGCGUUGUGUCGUAAUAUAAGGGGGUAGAGCACUGAAUGGGCUAGGGCAUACACCAAUGUACCAAACCCUAUCAAACUCCGAAUACCUUAUAUGUAAUCACAGCAGUCAGGCGGCGAGUGAUAAAAUCCGUCGUCAAGAGGGAAACAACCCAGACUACCAGCUAAGGUCCCUAAAUCUUACUUAAGUGGAAAACGAUGUGAAGUUACUUAAACAACCAGGAGGUUGGCUUAGAAGCAGCCAUCCUUUAAAGAAAGCGUAAUAGCUCACUGGUCUAGUGAUUUUGCGCGGAAAAUAUAACGGGGCUAAAGUAAGUACCGAAGCUGUAGACUUGAUUUUAUCAAGUGGUAGGAGAGCGUUCUAUUUGCGUCGAAGGUAUACCGGUAAGGAGUGCUGGAGCGAAUAGAAGUGAGCAUGCAGGCAUGAGUAGCGAUAAUUAAUGUGAGAAUCAUUAACGCCGUAAACCCAAGGUUUCCUACGCGAUGCUCGUCAUCGUAGGGUUAGUCGGGUCCUAAGUCGAGUCCGAAAGGGGUAGACGAUGGCAAAUUGGUUAAUAUUCCAAUACCAACAUUAGUGUGCGAUGGAAGGACGCUUAGGGCUAAGGGGGCUAGCGGAUGGAAGUGCUAGUCUAAGGUCGUAGGAGGUUAUACAGGCAAAUCCGUAUAACAAUACUCCGAGAACUGAAAGGCUUUUUGAAGUCUUCGGAUGGAUAGAAGAACCCCUGAUGCCGUCGAGCCAAGAAAAGUUUCUAAGUUUAGCUAAUGUUGCCCGUACCGUAAACCGACACAGGUGGGUGGGAUGAGUAUUCUAAGGCGCGUGGAAGAACUCUCUUUAAGGAACUCUGCAAAAUAGCACCGUAUCUUCGGUAUAAGGUGUGGUUCGCUUCGUAUUAGGAUUUACUCCGAAAGCGAAGAAACUUACAACAAAGAGUCCCUCCCGACUGUUUACCAAAAACACAGCACUCUGCUAACUCGUAAGAGGAUGUAUAGGGUGUGACGCCUGCCCGGUGCUCGAAGGUUAAUUGAUGGGGUUAGCAUUAGCGAAGCUCUUGAUCGAAGCCCGAGUAAACGGCGGCCGUAACUAUAACGGUCCUAAGGUAGCGAAAUUCCUUGUCGGUUAAAUACCGACCUGCAUGAAUGGCGUAACGAGAUGGGAGCUGUCUCAAAGAGGGAUCCAGUGAAAUUGUAGUGGAGGUGAAAAUUCCUCCUUCCCGCGGCAAGACGGAAAGACCCCGUGGACCUUUACUACAGCUUGACACUGCUAUUUGGAUAAGAAUGUGCAGGAUAGGUGGGAGGCUUUGAGUAUAUGACGCCAGUUGUAUAUGAGCCAUUGUUGAGAUACCACUCUUUCUUAUUUGGGUAGCUAACCAGCUUGAGUUAUCCUCAAGUGGGACAAUGUCUGGUGGGUAGUUUGACUGGGGCGGUCGCCUCCCAAAUAAUAACGGAGGCUUACAAAGGUUGGCUCAGAACGGUUGGAAAUCGUUCGUAGAGUAUAAAGGUAUAAGCCAGCUUAACUGCAAGACAUACAAGUCAAGCAGAGACGAAAGUCGGUCUUAGUGAUCCGGUGGUUCUGUGUGGAAGGGCCAUCGCUCAAAGGAUAAAAGGUACCCCGGGGAUAACAGGCUGAUCUCCCCCAAGAGCUCACAUCGACGGGGAGGUUUGGCACCUCGAUGUCGGCUCAUCGCAUCCUGGGGCUGGAGCAGGUCCCAAGGGUAUGGCUGUUCGCCAUUUAAAGCGGUACGCGAGCUGGGUUCAGAACGUCGUGAGACAGUUCGGUCCCUAUCUGCCGUGGGCGUAAGAAGAUUGAAGAGAUUUGACCCUAGUACGAGAGGACCGGGUUGAACAAACCACUGGUGUAGCUGUUGUUCUGCCAAGAGCAUCGCAGCGUAGCUAAGUUUGGAAAGGAUAAACGCUGAAAGCAUCUAAGCGUGAAGCCAACUCUAAGAUGAAUCUUCUCUAAGCUCUCUAGAAGACUACUAGUUUGAUAGGCUGGGUGUGUAAUGGAUGAAAGUCCUUUAGCUGACCAGUACUAAUAGAGCGUUUGGCUUAUCUUUAAUAAAGCAU